rnacentral:rRNA from 1 species
UUAUUACCGCGGCGGCUGGCACGAAGUUAGCCGGGGCUUCUUCUGCAGUUAAUGUCAUUAUCUUCACUGCUGAAAGUGCUUUACAACCCUAAGGCCGUCAUCACACACGCGGCAUGGCUGGAUCAGGGUUGCCCCCAUUGUCCAAUAUUCCCCACUGCUGCCUCCCGUAGGAGUCUGGGCCGUGUCUCAGUCCCAGUGUGGCUGAUCAUCCUCUCAGACCAGCUAUAGAUCGUCGCCUUGGUAAGCCAUUACCUUACCAACUAGCUAAUCUAACGCGGGCACAUCUCAUGGCGAUAAAUCUUUCCCCCAUAGGGCUCAUAGGGUAUUAGCAGUCGUUUCCAACUGUUGUCCCCUACCACAAGGUAGCUUCCCACGCGUUACUCACCCGUCUGCCACU